GACCGACCGAGCCCGCCGGGGGCAGCGGGACAUCGGCGUGGGGGAAAAGGGCGUAUCCCGCAGGGCGGUGUGAGGUGCGCUUGUCCUCCCUCAGAAGCGGCGCGAGGGGCUGGUGUCCCCUCAGGAGUGGCAUGAGGCUCACCAUGUCUCUGCCAGCAAAGAGGUGUGGAAGGCCCCAGUGUUGUCUUUUCUGGAAAAGAAAAAGAGAAAGUAAAGUCUUGAUAGAAGAAGGGGGAAAACAAGGGUUUAUGUGGGAAACAAAAUGGACCAGUGGCUGACGCUUAAGGAGAAGUUGGAUUUGAGAAAUGACACAGGAGUUGCAGGGUUUUUAUUGGACGUGUAUGACAGCUAUGACCUUUAUCAAAAGCUCCGCUCUGUGAGGGUGUGAGAAGGAUCCCUGGGAAGGAAGAAGGAGCAUUGUCAGACAGCACUCCUUUAAUGGCAGCAGAUGGAAUGUUAGUGCUGUCCUGUUCUUACUUGCAAAGGGUGUGACAGUGAUGACCAGCUGCCUGAAGAAUCUGCUUGUUCUGGAUUCAGAGACAUGAGAGUUGUAACUGUGAAAGAGGAGCAAGAGAUGCCAGGGGACUGCACAUUGACAAGGACAGAUGACACUAGGUGAACAAGUUGGGGUUCGAAAAGCAAUUCUAUGGCAGAGAAGAAUCCUUGGAAACUAGGUCAGGAGCAGAUAAAUACCAGUGCUGAUGAAGCUGGAAAACUCAAGUACAUUCUUCAAAAUAGCAUUUUUCUCUGGCACUAUAAUUUCAUUUUGGAGUGCAGCAGUAACUGAAUUCCUGGGACUGAUUUGAUACAGAACAGCAGUGAGUGCUGAAGUCACUGAGGUUCUUACAACGGUGGGAUGUCCAUACAGGGGUCAGGUGUGGUACUGCACUUGCUAUUGAAGGGAGGCGAUGCAGGCGGGUAUUUCCUGCUUUGCAGGUACUUGGCUGUCAUGUUUUCCUGUUGUUUUGGGCUUUACCCAGUAUGUCUUUUCAUUCUGUGCUUGUAAGGGCCAGGAAAACAACAAGGUCUUAUUGUCAGUGCUUUAUUAGCACAUUCAGAAUUAAUAAUCGUAAAGCAGCUAUUGUAUUCUAGGCUUUUUAUUCUCAAGUCUAGUUUUGGGUUGGCCAAACCCUAGUUAUUAAGGAAUACACACAUCAAAGACAGUGGAGGAAGAACAUUUAAAUUCAGCUUCAUUGGUGGCUUAGUGUAUGGUUUCUGGCUUGGUUUUGGAGCCUGAUGAUGUUGGCUUUCAGCAGUUGUAGAGAAUUAAGUUGAUGGAAAACAGUGAGGGAAUCAAGUGACUUCAGGGUUCUUGCCAGGUGAAAUGGAAUGGCUUUUUGAGUUGUGGCUAUUGUGGGGAGUUGGCAGGUUGAUAUAAUAGGAAGGAAAGAAUGUACAGAAAUUCUGAUUUCAAAGCACAUUAGCAGGGCAAAGCCAAGUGGAAGGGUUACCGACCCACAUCCAGUAAGGUUUCUGAAGACAAUCAGUCCUUCUCCAUUGCUGCUUCAGUUAUUAGCAUCUAACUUUAACAUCUGGAAUAUAACCAAGCUAAUUUAAAUUUCUUUUUCUGGUUUACAUGUAACAAUUAUGAAGCUGUCAAAGCAGAUAAUGAUUUUUAAAAUACAUGUUAUUUACUCUAACAUUGAAAAGUGAUGAGUCAAAGUAGUUGAAGGGGUUUUUUUGCGGAAGCUUUGGGGAAUUUAAGAUUCUUUCACUAUUGUAGUAGUUGAAUGAUAGGAAUUCAAAAAUUCCUUUACCUGUGUUAAUAAGACAGAUUCUCAUGAUAGCAUUGUUCCAGAGGGUUUGAAGAAGAUCAUCUUUAGAGUCCUUCCAGCCCAAACCAUUCUGUGAUUUUGUGAACUGACUUUCUUGGGAUUUGAUUAUGGACUGUAUCUUUUUUUUCCCCUCUCAAUUCAGUAAAAAUGAAACAAUACAAAUACAGGACAGAUACUCAGAAGUGUCACAGCAGUACAGUGAGGAAGAUGAAGCGUAUGGUGGGAUGAGUUGGUGUCAGUCAGUAAGAAAUGUUGAGUUGGGAAGCCCCAACUUUGUGGAAGUCUGCAGUGCCAUUUCUCUCCAAAAAUGGCACUUGGCAGCACCUUUUGUAAUGAUUUUUGCUACACAGCUUUCCUCAUAGCUGUGGGAAUUUGCAAGACUCUGUAUUGCAGAAGUUCUCUUCAUCCUGAGUAAUGUGUUUGCUGAAAAGCCAUGUGAUUACUGUCCAGACAAGGCAGUUGUAAAGUGCAAUGCCCUUGGAAAGCAAAUAAACAAUCUCAAGAGAAGGUCCAGCAAGCUGUUAGUGCUGAAGACUUACCAUGGCAAAGGUGAACAGCUGAGGAGUUUCUUAGCAAGCAGGAAAGUAAAAGUUAAAUUUAAAAGAAAAAAGGGAAAAAAAAAAAGCCUGUUAAAUAUAACCUGCUUGGUAGGACAGCUUCCUGUUCUCUCCAAACAAAUCAAUUUUCAGUGCCUUGUUUUGACUAGUUGCAAUUUUUAAUUGGCCUAAAAGAUUCUGUAUGUACUGUUUUUCAUCUUUAGUGUUUAUAGUUUGUUUUUAAUUAAAGAAAAAAGAAAAAACCAGAAACAACCACCCCCCACCCCUGACAAACCACAGCCUGUGGUUGUUUCACUAAUGUGACUUCAAAGGGACUGUAACACAGCUUUUCCUUAAAGACAAUUGAGUGGUUAGUUUCAGACAAAUAAUUUAUUAUAAUGCUGAAUGUUGGUCUGUAUUUCACUAUAGUGAAACCUCUGUUUAUAUAUCAUAAAACAUAACAUGUUGAUCUCUUCAUGUGUAUUGCACACAGAAAAGCACAAAUGCACUUCUUGUGAUAUUUCCCCUUAUUUCCAAGUUACAAGAGUGGAUUAAGGGAAUGCACUUCCCUAGACAUAGUGAAACAAUAUAAACUUAUUGCAUGUUUAGGUAUUUGAAUGUCAUAUUGUAACUGUUAUUAUUGUGUUGCUUUUCAGGGUGAGCAGAGAGAAGAAAAUCAAGCUCUUGAAUAACAAUACAGGGGCAGUUUGUACUUCAUUUUGAUUUUAUUAUGAGGUUGUUGUGAACUGUAAAGAGUUACUGUAAGUUGUGAAAUUCCAUGUUGUGUUGAACAGUACAUUAAACUUAAUUACCUAAAGUUUUACUGUGUUAUGUUUAUGGUAAUAAAGUGUGUGGGGUGGAUUAUUUCCCUAGGAGAGUCUGUACAGAGUGCUCUGAGGGGCAACAAAAAAGGACAAGCCAAAGUGCUCAUGUUAUUGCUAAACUUAGAAUUUAAUAACUUUUUGUAGGUUUUCUUAACGACUGAGUUCCUUGCAUUUUAUUUAAAACUCAAAAGGAUUAAGACAGAAACAAUAUCAUAGUGUCAGUUGCAGCAUCAAGUGUGCUUCCACCUGAAUGUGUUGCUUGGAAUGUUUUUCUUUAGGGAACAAAUUUAACAUAUCCCAUUUAUUGUAAGGCAUUUGUGCAGUUGAUUGAUGCCCUGAAAAAUGAUGGGUAAAAAUGCUGGACUGUAGAUUGCGUUGUGUUGGUGCCUUUGAAAAAAUGAAAUAAGUGGAAUACUUUCAGUAACUGAAGUUCUGCAGAACGGUGUUGGCAGUUCUGAAUCUGUUUUGUAGUUACCAAGUGUGAGUAAUCCUGGAAAGGUUUUGAACCAAGAAGCUGAGGUUGGUGCAGUAUUCUGGUUAUUCACUUGUCAGAAGCACAGAAACUGCAGUUCUCUGCUUUCAACUCUUUUUUUCUUCAACCACACACUUGCAUAAGCUUUCAGGUCUUGAUCUUACAGCAGUCAAGCCAGCUGGGCUUUCCCACCAAUUUACACUGGAACAGCCUCUCUGUGGGGAGAAAUUCCCCUAAUUAGAUCAUUAUACUCUGUAUUCAUUUAUUAAAAUGAGCUGUUUCACUGGCUGUAAGAAACUGCAGUUGCUCUUAAAUAUUAUCUUGAUGAAGUGUCUGAAUUCAGUGUUGCUUUAUGAGCAAUAAUUUUUUCUCUAAAUGUUGCACAGAUAGAUCUUUAAAAAAAAAAAAAGUUGAGAAGGCAGUUUUUUGAGACUUUCUCAAAAUGAAAAUGCGACUUCCUCUGUAUUUGUGUUCUCUCUUUGCUCUGCACCUUUCAGAUUUUUCUUUGACUACCAAACAUUGACUCAUGUAAAUAACUCAGUUUGGCUCACAGAAGAAGUGUGACUGGUGACACUUAUUUUCAGUGAAGUGUCUUCCAGUGCUCUCAGAUUUUUGAUUGUUGGUGUCAUUACAAUGAGAAGAGAAGAUGACUCAGCCUUCCAUUACAUUUCCCUCCAAAAAUCUUCAAGAUCAGAAAAAUCCUCAGCUGUACCACAUUCUCAGCCAGAUCAACCUCAUUCUUGCCUUUUUAAAUGCACACUGCAAGAAUUUUUAUUGUUUAAUGACUUGCUGCCAGUACAUGAUAUGUUGAGUUGCACUCACUAUGUAAAUUACUGGGAGAAUUAUUAUUCUUGUUCAUAGUACUGGAAUAUAGUACCAUUUAUCCCAAGUUUCCCACUACACUGGCACUUCAUGCUGAAGAAAAAUCAAGAGAAAGUAGACUUCCAAGCAUUUCCUUUUGUAAUGUCAUAGUGUGACAUAUUUGGGUUGCUACAUGACCAUAUGCUUUUGAGUAUCUGACUUCUGUAGAGCAGAAUAUUAUCUUUGUUAUUUUCCAGUGAAGUUAGCAAAAUGGUGAAUGGAAAUGAUUCUGAAACAAGAUGCUUUCUUCUGAUGGAUGUGAUGAGCAGUGGCUCUGCUUUAGUAUAAAUGGCCAAGUAAGGCUUUCUGCUCCUGUCUGUGGGGGAUUGUGGAGUUUGACUAUGUUCAGAUGUCAAAAUUAGACCCAUAAGAAUUAUUUAGACUCUCUUUUCCCAUGGCACAUUUACAUUCCCAUUUAAAGGUGUACAUUUAGGAAAAUUCUUUUAAGCAGAACCAUAAGUUGUGCUGUUGGCAGUACUGAAUACUUAAGGCAUAAACCUGUAAUGUUAGAAAAUUUUCUGUACAGAUUUAUAGUGGAAGACAGUAUCUUUAAAAAACACUGACUUUUGGUUUUGUGUUUAUAAAGUGGACUUACUGUGCCACUUGGUUUCCUUAGAACUGUGGAGCUAUCAAAUCUUUUGAAAUGUGAGUAUUUACAUACAUAAACCAGGAAACUUCAUCCAGAUAAGGGCUGUUCUGUGUUGAACUUAAAUUUCAAAUUAUUAGUUAAAGAAUAGAAGUUACAAUGGACUGGUUUUUCUAGUACUAACUUAAUCUUCCAUUACUUUGCCUUCACAAUAAGCUAUUUUCUAAAAUCACAACAAUUACAAUUGUGCUUUUAGCUCACAUAAUGUAGUAUCACCUGAGAACUUUCUGUGUCUUGCUGGGGAAAGAUAGUCUGGCCUAUAUUGUGAUUUACUUUUUAGCAAAAAACACCUACAAAACAGGAGGAAAAAUUGUUUAAAAUAGCUUGUGCAGAUUUCUUGGUGAAAUAAGGAGUUUUGCAAAUCAUCACAGACUCACUGGAGAGAAGAGUAGAACUGAGAUGAGAUACUGGAACUGGUACUUGAAGAAACAGUAUUUCAAUGUCCUGUUUUCUUGCCAUUUCAAAUUGUUGUUUAAUUUUCUGGCUCUUUGCUUGCUCUGAAUGGUUACAAAAAGCUUGUAAAAGCUUGAUCAGGCAGUCAAGAGGAAUGCUGCACUGAGGCACAUUAUUUAAGAAUAUAUCAGGAACACAGGAGCCUAGUUUUAUUCUGAAUUCUUCAGGCUUAGUAGCUCAACAAGGGUUUUAUCUUGUGCUGAAAUUGAAAUAGAUUUGAUACACGACUUUUAUAAGCCAUGAUCAUUUUUCUGGUUUAAUGGUAUGAAAUACUAUCAUCAGUUCUUCUUGCUAUUUUUCCAAGAGCCUUUCAUGUCCUGUCUCUGCUAGUGAGGAGUCUUUUGGGCUUCUAAAUCAAGACCCCCCCAAACAAGUUUCAGCUGUGUGUUAUGUGUGUUCUUAUGAGUCACUGCUGGAAAUACUGAUCAGUGGAUAGAAGGAGAAUGCAUCAAGGGAGGAGUUCCAGAGGUAGAAGUGGGGUUUCAGUUUGAGAUGUGUAAAUUAAAUGUGGGUCAAAGAGGAAUGGUGAACCUGAGCCCUGUUUGUGGUUUGAGUGUCCUGUGCCAGGACAAGCCUGCUUCCUCUCUUUUCCCCUGUCUCAGCAGAAGGGAUUAAUUUCAUUUAUAAUUCCAGAGAGAUUCCUCACCACUACAGCACUCAGAGCCCUGCCAGUGAGGAUUGUGGUUUCACAAUGCUGAGGAUUCAACAGAUAAAUGGAACAUUUCUAAGAUCAAGUAGAGCUGAUAAGUGAGAGAAGUUACAUCUUCACCACACCACUUAGAGCAAUAGAGCAAUACUUCUUUCUGUAAUUCUUGUGCAUAAAUGUAAAGGUAAUGUGUAUUUAAGAUGCCAAAAUCAGUCUGCUCUACUCAGUGCUGUGUGUAAUCAUGCUCUGUAUGCAGUGUUCAAUGGAGCUGUAUCCAGAGACUGCCCUAUAAAUAAAAAAAUAUAUAAAUAAAAUAUAAAUCUAUAAAUAAAGAGGGCAAGUGUUUAUGUGUGUGUGUACA